GGGCUGGGGCUCAGUGGCAGAGCACAUGCCUCACACCUGUGAAGCACUGGGUUCGAUCCUCAGCACCACA
rnacentral:tRNA from 1 species